rnacentral:lncRNA from 1 species
GAAAUAAUAAAAGAAGGCUCUAUCUUGGCAGAAAUUCAAAUUUAGAAAGCUCUUCCUGAUGUGUAAUCUGACUCCUUUCUGAUAUUAUUGAAGUCCAAAUUUGGAUGAGACUAGAUAUAAUAAUUUUCAAUACAUAUCUCUGGGAAAGAGUGACUUUUUCCUCCACCUUAGAAAUGAGUCUAAGAGGAGUACUUUUGUUUUUUGUGAAAAACUGGAUGCGUGACAUUCUCCACAGUAUUCGGUUAUUGGCUUCAUUGCUGUAACAAACAGAGCACCAAUAUUUAGAGUUUCAAACAAGCUAAACCUUACUUUCUCUCUUUUUAAAUUUUCCAGAGGUAGAUGUCUCAAUCUUUGUUGGGAAGUCUUCUCUAAUAUGUUCAACUAAAUAAUCAAAAUAUAUCUUUUUUUAGGAUUCAUCACCUUAAACAUCAUUUUUGUAAUUAUUUUAUGUGCUCUGUAUAUUACUCAUGAAAUAAUACAUUAUUUGUGUGCUACCAUAUUAUUAUUAUUACUAUUGCAUAAUUAAGGUAUUUUCAUGUUUUCUAACUGUAAUUAUUAGAAUUCUGUAAGUCUGCUACGGUGACAUUUCUGGUUAGGAGUCAGAGUGGAUGGGACACUGAGCAAUAAGGUAAGUAUUAGCAUGUGAGUAAGCCCUGGUUUGCCCAAGAUAGUUGUCAUUUAGGCUUCCUGUCCCAAUGUAAUCAUAAGUAGCAUUGUAUUAAUCCAUUCUUGCAUUGCUAUAAAGAAAUACCUGAGACUGGGUAAUUUAUAAAGAAAAGAGGUUAAUUGGCUCAUGGUUCUGCAGGAGGUACAGGAAGCAUCACACUGGUAUCUCCUUCUGGGGAGGCCUCUGGAAGCUUAAGGUCAUGGCAGGAGGCAAAGCAGGAGCAAGGGAGCCAGAGAGUUGCUACACACUUUUGAACAACCAGAUCUCAAGAGAACUCACUAUGGCGAGGACAGUACCAUGAGGAUGGUGCUAAACCAUUCAUGAGAAAUCUGCCCCCAUGAUCCACUCACCUCCCACCAGGCCCCACCUGCAACACUGGGGUUUACAUUUCAAUAUGAAAUUUGGGUGGGGACAUACAUCCAAACUAUAUCAAGCAUCUUUGUCAUUCUCAGAAGUGUCCCUGUUUGGAUGAUAGGUUCCAAUAUCAUGCUACCUAUGGGGUAGGAUGGGGGGACCUAUGGGGUACUAAUCUCACCUAAUAUGUACAUAACACUUCACAGUUAUCUCUUAUAGUAUUCAAGCUGAGAAAGGAUGCAGAUCUUAAAAACAUGUGCUUUGGGUUAUUUAGUUAGUAUAGUGUAUUGGGAGCUCAAGCUCUGGAAUCAGAAAAAAACUGGGUCUGAAUCAAAGUUCAAGAGAUCUUGGCAAGUUCCUUUAUUCUUUGAGCCUUAAUGUGCUUAUUUGUAGAAAGGGAAAACUAAGAGUACCUCUCUCAAAGUGGUAGUUUUGGGAAUUAAAUGAGAUAAGCUAAUUUUUUAAUUUUUGACAUAUAAUAAUUGUACAUAUUUAUGAGGUGCAGAGUGAUAUUUGAUACAUGUAUAAAAUGUGUAAGGAUCACAUUAGGAUAAUUAGGAUAUCCGUCACCUCAUUUAUCAUUUAUUUGUGUUAUGAGCAUUCAAAAUCCUCCCUUCUAUCUUUUUGAAUAUAGAUAAUACAUUGUUACCUAUAUCCACCCCACAGCAUAAUAGAACACUAGAACUUAUUGCUUCUAUCUAGUAACUUUGGAGGUGACCUAGACUUCUAUUAGUUUCCUAAAACUGCUUUAAUAAAGUAUCAUAAACUGGGUGACUUAAAACAACUGAAAUUUAUUGUCUCACAGUUCUGAAGGCUAGGAGUCCCAAAUCAAGGCAAUAGCAGAGCCAUGCUCCCUCUGAAGCCUACAAGGGAGAAUCUUUCCUAGCUUCUUGUGGUUGGCUUGUAGAUGCAACACUACAAUCCUCCAUCUUCACAUGGCAUUUUCCCUGUGUCUCUACACACUGUUCCCUCUGUGCAUGUCUUGUCUGUGUCUGAGUUCAAAUUAUCCCCUCCGUUUUUUUUUUAUUAGGAUACCUAUCAUAUUGGAUUAGGGCCCACCCUAAUGGCCUCACCUUAACUUGACUACACGUGCACCUACAUCUAUUUCCAUAGAAGGUCACAUUCUAAGGUAGUAGGGGUUAGGACUUCAACAUCUCUUUUCAGGGAGACACAAUUUAAUCCAUAAUACUAUUUUUAAAGUAUUUAGUUAUUUGCUUGGCCUGUAAUAAGCUCUGAUUAAUGUUUUCUGCUGAUAUAUCCAAACAGAAAAAUACUUCGUUAGGCCAAAAUCAUAUAAGAUAGAGGGAAUUUUGGUGCAAGAGAAACUGCUAUUUGGCUUUAGAUAUUUAUUUUCUCUUCCUCCACCCUGAAAGAGACUCUGAUUUUGGUCUUGACUGUGGCUACCUGGAAAGAGAACUGAAAUAUACAUCCUUACUUGUAACCGGUUGUGGUCAUACAGCUAAGUUUGACCAAGAAGAAGAUGCAGGUGAACUGUAAGUCCUUAAUGAGAAGGAAAAUAAUGCCUUACCUUUCUUUUGCUCCUUCUCACUGGCCAGAAUGCAGAGACAUGAUGGCUGAAGCUGGAGCUUUUCCCUGAAGCAACCACCUGUUGGAAACUUCAUGUUGAAGAUGACUGAAUAAUAAGACAGAGGGGUCUGGGUCCCUGGUGGAUAUUCCAGAUCUGGGUGUUCGUGGAGAUAUGAGAAAGCAA